rnacentral:misc_RNA from 1 species
CGCAGAGGGUCUGCCAGGUGACAACGUUGGCUUCAACGUCAAGAACGUCUCCGUCAAGGAGAUUCGUCGUGGCAACGUCGCCGGUGACUCCAAGAACGACCCACCAAAGGGUGCCGAGUCCUUCAACGCCCAGGUCAUCGUUCUCAACCACCCUGGUCAGGUCGGUGCUGGUUACGCCCCAGUGCUCGACUGCCACACCGCA